UACGUAGGGGGCAAGCGUUGUCCGGAUUCAUUGGGCGUAAAGAGCGUGUAGGCGGCCAGGUAGGUCGGUUGUGAAAACUGGAGGCUCAACCUUCAGAGGUCGACCGAAACCAUCUGGCUAGAGUCCGGGAGAGGAGAGUGGAAUUCCUGGUGUAGCGGUGAAAUGCGCAGAUAUCAGGAAGAACACCCGUGGCGAAAGCGGCUCUCUGGAACGGUACUGACGCUGAGACGCGAAAGCGUGGGGAGCGAACAGGAUUAGAACUACCGAGUCAG
rnacentral:rRNA from 1 species